GUGCGAUCAUACCAGCACUA
rnacentral:rRNA from 1 species